GGAUGCGAUCAUACCAGCACUAAAGCACCGGAUCCCAUCAGAACUCCGAAGUUA
rnacentral:rRNA from 1 species